rnacentral:tRNA from 1 species
CGGGGGUGUAGCUCAGUGGUAGAGCGCUCGCUUUGCAUGUGAGAAGCCCCGGGUUCAAACCCCGGUACCUCGA